rnacentral:lncRNA from 1 species
GGGCAGGUUGGUUUGGCCAUACGUCAAUGGGCUGGUGAUUGAAGUCGAUGUGAACUAAAAAAAGUCAGUAGAUCACGGCCGAGACAGAAGGCUGGAAGUCAGAAAGUUCUGAAUCAUGGCAGAUGUAGCACGACCAUUUUAUCAAAGUUUGUUGAUAUAGUGGAUAUGAUGUUAAGUACGUUUCUAUGCAGCGGUGUCAUUUCAAAUCGAUAUCAACUGAUUUCUUAAG